CUGGGUUUAUACAGCCAAACCCUUGAAGCUUAUGUUAAAUGGACCUCUAGGCGGAACUGGUGCUCUUGGGAGAAAUGCUGAGUUCAGAAUCAAGUCCUGGUAAAUCUAACGCCGUCAAGUUGCAGUGAGCCAAAAACGAGACACAAGGUGAAGGUGAAUGAUGUUUCAUUGGCGCUUACGUUAAGCUUCCACUCCAUCUUCAUGUCUCUGGAAGGGCACGCAAGACACAGCCACAGCCGCUGCCUCUGGGGCGGGGAUUGGGCGCUGCGAGUUAGAACUGGGAAGAGCACUUUCUUACCACAUACCUUUAGCCUUGUGUGAAUUUUAACCACGUGCAACUGCUGUGUUUUCAAACAAUAAGAGCUACCAACAGAACAACACCACAGAUUUCUCUCCAGCAAACAGUUUGGGGGCAAUUAAGAGAACUAUCUUACCCAAAG
rnacentral:lncRNA from 1 species